rnacentral:rRNA from 1 species
UUUAAAUUGAGAGUUUGAUCCUGGCUCAGGACGAACGCUGGCGGCGUGCCUAACACAUGCAAGUCGAGCGGAGAAUGCGGAUAUGUUUACAUAGAAGUAUUCUUAGCGGCGGACGGGUGAGUAACACGUGGGUAACCUGCCUCAAAGUGGGGGAUAGCCUUCCGAAAGGAAGA